GAGCACGAAGGUUGGCUAAUCCUGGUCGGACAUCAGGAGGUUAGUGCAAUGGCAUAAGCCAGCUUGACUGCGAGCGUGACGGCGCGAGCAGGUGCGAAAGCAGGUCAUAGUGAUCCGGUGGUUCUGAAUGGAAGGGCCAUCGCUCAACGGAUAAAAGGUACUCCGGGGAUAACAGGCUGAUACCGCCCAAGAGUUCAUAUCGACGGCGGUGUUUGGCACCUCGAUGUCGGCUCAUCACAUCCUGGGGCUGAAGUAGGUCCCAAGGGUAUGGCUGUUCGCCAUUUAAAGUGGUACGCGAGCUGGGUUUAGAACGUCGUGAGACAGUUCGGUCCCUAUCUGCCGUGGGCGCUGGAGAACUGAGGGGGGCUGCUCCUAGUACGAGAGGACCGGAGUGGACGCAUCACUGGUGUUCGGGUUGUCAUGCCAAUGGCACUGCCCGGUAGCUAAAUGCGGAAGAGAUAAGUGCUGAAAGCAUCUAAGCACGAAACUUGCCCCGAGAUGAGUUCUCCCUGACCCUUUAAGGGUCCUGAAGGAACGUUGAAGACGACGACGUUGAUAGGCCGGGUGUGUAAGCGCAGCGAUGCGUUGAGCUAACCGGUACUAAUGGAGAUAAGUGCUGAAAGCAUCUAAGCACGAAACUUGCCCCGAGAUGAGUUCUCCCUGACCCUUUAAGGGUCCUGAAGGAACGUUGAAGACGACGACGUUGAUAGGCCGGGUGUGUAAGCGCAGCGAUGCGUUGAGCUAACCGGUACUAAUGAACCGUGAGGCUUAACCUUACAACGCCGAAGGUGUUU
rnacentral:rRNA from 1 species